rnacentral:rRNA from 1 species
GCUGGCGGCAGGCCUAACACAUGCAAGUCGAGCGGUAGAGAGAAGCUUGCUUCUCUUGAGAGCGGCGGACGGGUGAGUAAUGCCUAGGAAUCUGCCUGGUAGUGGGGGAUAACGUUCGGAAACGGACGCUAAUACCGCAUACGUCCUACGGGAGAAAGCAGGGGACCUUCGGGCCUUGCGCUAUCAGAUGAGCCUAGGUCGGAUUAGCUAGUUGGUGGGGUAAUGGCUCACCAAGGCGACGAUCCGUAACUGGUCUGAGAGGAUGAUCAGUCACACUGGAACUGAGACACGGUCCAGACUCCUACGGGAGGCAGCAGUGGGGAAUAUUGGACAAUGGGCGAAAGCCUGAUCCAGCCAUGCCGCGUGUGUGAAGAAGGUCUUCGGAUUGUAAAGCACUUUAAGUUGGGAGGAAGGGUUGUAGAUUAAUACUUUGCUGUUUUGACGUUACCGACAGAAUAAGCACCGGCUAACUCUGUGCCAGCAGCCGCGGUAAUACAGAGGGUGCAAGCGUUAAUCGGAAUUACUGGGCGUAAAGCGCGCGUAGGUGGUUAGUUAAGUUGGAUGUGAAAU